CCCUUAGAUGUUCUGGGCCGCACGCGCGCUACACUGAUGCAUUCAACGAGUCUAAAACCUGCUCUGAUAGGGGUGGGUAAUCUUUUGAAUGUGCAUCGUGACUGGGAUAGAUGAUUGCAAUUUUUCAUCUUCAACGAGGAAUGCCUAGUAAACGCAAGUCAUCAGCUUGCAUUGAUUACGUCCCUGCCCUUUGUACACACCGCCCGUCGCUCCUACCGAUUGAAUGAUCCGAUGAAUAUCAUGGAUUGAGGAUGCAAGUAGGUUCGCCUAUCUUCAUCUUCGAGAAGUGAAGUAAAUCUUAUCAUUUAGAGGAAGGAGAAGUCGUAACA
rnacentral:rRNA from 1 species